rnacentral:rRNA from 1 species
GGAUGAACGCUAGCUACAGGCUUAACACAUGCAAGUCGAGGGGCAUCAGGAAGAAAGCUUGCUUUCUUUGCUGGCGACCGGCGCACGGGUGAGUAACACGUAUCCAACCUGCCCUUUACUCGGGGAUAGCCUUUCGAAAGAAAGAUUAAUACCCGAUGGCAUAAUGAUUCCGCAUGGUUUCAUUAUUAAAGGAUUCCGGUAAAGGAUGGGGAUGCGUUCCAUUAGGUUGUUGGUGAGGUAACGGCUCACCAAGCCUUCGAUGGAUAGGGGUUCUGAGAGGAAGGUCCCCCACAUUGGAACUGAGACACGGUCCAAACUCCUACGGGAGGCAGCAGUGAGGAAUAUUGGUCAAUGGGCGCUAGCCUGAACCAGCCAAGUAGCGUGAAGGAUGAAGGCUCUAUGGGUCGUAAACUUCUUUUAUAUAAGAAUAAAGUGCAGUAUGUAUACUGUUUUGUAUGUAUUAUAUGAAUAAGGAUCGGCUAACUCCGUGCCAGCAGCCGCGGUAAUACGGAGGAUCCGAGCGUUAUCCGGAUUUAUUGGGUUUAAAGGGAACGUAGGUGGACUGGUAAGUCAGUUGUGAAAGUUUGCGGCUCAACCGUAAAAUUGCAGUUGAUACUGUCAGUCUUGAGUACAGUAGAGGUGGGCGGAAUUCGUGGUGUAGCGGUGAAAUGCUUAGAUAUCACGAAGAACUCCGAUUGCGAAGGCAGCUCACUGGACUGCAACUGACACUGAUGCUCGAAAGUGUGGGUAUCAAACAGGAUUAGAUACCCUGGUAGUCCACACAGUAAACGAUGAAUACUCGCUGUUUGCGAUAUACAGUAAGCGGCCAAGCGAAAGCAUUAAGUAUUCCACCUGGGGAGUACGCCGGCAACGGUGAAACUCAAAGGAAUUGACGGGGGCCCGCACAAGCGGAGGAACAUGUGGUUUAAUUCGAUGAUACGCGAGGAACCUUACCCGGGCUUAAAUUGCAGUGGAAUGAUGUGGAAACAUGUCAGUGAGCAAUCACCGCUGUGAAGGUGCUGCAUGGUUGUCGUCAGCUCGUGCCGUGAGGUGUCGGCUUAAGUGCCAUAACGAGCGCAACCCUUAUCUUUAGUUACUAACAGGUUAUGCUGAGGACUCUAGAGAGACUGCCGUCGUAAGAUGUGAGGAAGGUGGGGAUGACGUCAAAUCAGCACGGCCCUUACGUCCGGGGCUACACACGUGUUACAAUGGGGGGUACAGAAGGCAGCUAGCGGGUGACCGUAUGCUAAUCCCAAAAGCCUCUCUCAGUUCGGAUCGAAGUCUGCAACCCGACUUCGUGAAGCUGGAUUCGCUAGUAAUCGCGCAUCAGCCACGGCGCGGUGAAUACGUUCCCGGGCCUUGUACACACCGCCCGUCAAGCCAUGGGAGCCGGGGGUACCUGAAGUACGUAACCGCAAGGAUCGUCCUAGGGUAAAACU